UGUGGUCUGGGUGAAUAUCCUCUUUCUACUUUGCAUUUGUCUCUGAGGCCCAGUAGUGCAUGGUAUUCAUGCAGUUCAUAUUAACUGUGUAAAGAGGAAGGAAGAGCUUGAACACAUUUGUUUGAGUUAUUAUCUUAAACUGCAGGCAAAGACGUUUCCACAGACUUUUUCUGCCACACCAGCUACCUCCUUUACAAACAACGCCCUGAGAGAACCAAAUUAUGAAUCUUAGAACAGCUGCAAGAGGCUUUGUAGCUUUCCUUCUGUCAGUACCAGCAUUACAGGGUUACUCUGACUGGGCAGUUACUUACCCAUCUAGGAAUAUCUGCGAAUUGCGAGGAUCAACAGUUGAAAUCCGCUGCAAUUAUAAAUACCCUUCCGCAAAUACAGUGGAGAAAAAACUCUGGUUUACUAAUAAACACAAUGAGCUAGUAGAUCUGGUAGAUGAUACAGACUAUACAGAUCGUGUUAAAUACAGCUGUGUUAGGCCCAGCUGUCCCUGGUCUUCCAGCAGCUGUACUGGAACGUGUACACUGAUAAUCAAAGACCUGACACAGAGUGACUCUGCUGAAUACAAGUUUAGGAUUACAACAAACAAUGGAGGGGCAUAUAGUGGUGACCCUGGAGUGAAGUUAUCUGUGACAGAUCUCCAGGUGAAAGUGGUCAUUCCUCCUUCCAGUCCUACCAGGGUACAGCUGAAAUGUCACAGUAUGUGUCAUCUUACUGGUUAUGUUACAUACAUCUGGUACAGGGAUGGAACUCAACCACAUCACGAAAGGUUCACCUGGUUCAACAUUAACUCUGAAUACAGGUCUUCAUGUGCUGUUCAAGGAUCCGAACUUCUCCCCUCUCCAUCAGUGUUCGCUCCAGAGACCCCCUCAGUGGGAGUGACUCCCCCUGGUGUAAUAAAGGAGGGCAGUUCAGUGAAUCUGACCUGCACCAGCGAGGCCAACCCAGUAGCAAAGUACACCUGGUCCAAGGUUACUACAGAUCAUUCCCCCGGACAAAGUGUCCAAGGACAACAGCUUUCCUUUCAUCCCAUCCAGUCUUCACACUCUGGACAAUAUCUCUGCACAGCUAAGAAUGACCUAGGGACAAAAACUUCGUCCCCCAUCUCUAUUGAUGUGAAAUGUGAGUAAAAGUACACACAGGAUAACAUCAUAACACAGAUGUUACGGUUUGUCAACAUUAUGAUGAACCAUCUCAAUUCGUCCUGCAUUCCAUUUACUCCGUAAAAACAUCUUCUUUAUAUCAUCAUUCACAUCAUGUUUGAGGUGAUGGGCCUUUUAAGGCCUAACCCCACAUUUGUGAUACCAAGUCCCCCUGGUGAGAUAAUGGAGGGAGGUUCAGUGACUCUGAGCUGCAGCAGUGAUGCCAACCCAGCAGCUGACUACACCUGGUUCAAGGACAACCAACCUCUGCUCUGGGAACCAAGGCGACCUUAUACCUUGGACCCAGUCAGCUCUAAAGACAGGGGAACGUACCGCUGCCAAGCAGGGAACCAAUAUGGAUAUCUGGGCUCCAACUCGGUUUUCAUAGAUGUCCAGUGUGGGUGCAAAAAACAAUAAUAAUGUUACGUUCCUCGCUAGGGAAAGGGAAGACAACAUAAAAGCUGAUAUUUUUGGUAAAGUAAAAUAAUUUAUUAACAUGAAUGGAAGAAGGUCAAGCUGCAAAGGAAAUCUGUUCAAAUCAAGGAAACAAAUAUAUAUCCAAAGCUGGACUCCAACAUACACGGUUGGAAGCGACCCCUGCUCCUAGUGUCACUAACAAAGGAAAACUGUACUAUUUGCUAUAUCCAGUAUUGCAAAUUGUUUAGCUGCUAUUCAUGUAUUGCUAUAUGCCUGGUAACCUAGGAGUCACAGUGUUAUUAUAUUAAUCGAAAUAUCAUUAUGUUUCUCGCUGACAUUGCAGUUAUGUACACGGUUUCUUAUCUUUAGGAUGUUAACAUAUCAUUGUGUUUAUGACAGACGCUCCAAAGACCCCCUCAGUGAGCGUGAGACCCCCUGGUGAAAUAAAGGAGGGAGGUUCAGUGACUCUGAGCUGCAGCAGUGAUGCCAACCCAGCAGCUGACUACACCUGGUUCAGGGAACAUGGAGGCUCAGUGGAGGAAUUAGGAGAGAACUACACCAUCAGUAACAUCACAACUGAGCUUGGAGGAAAUUAUUACUGUGAAGCUCGUAAUGCAGUUGGACUUCAGAAUUCAACUUUGAUGUUCCUUAAUGUGACAGCCACGCCAUCAUCAUUACCUACAACUGUGGCUGCAGGAACUGUAGCUGUUUUACUGGCCACCAUAUUGUUCCUCAUCUUCCUCUGGAUGAGUCUCCUCCGUGUCCUGUGUAUGACAACGUCUCAGCUCUGACCAAUCGCUCGGCUUCUGCUGCACAGAGAGAACCAAUAGAAGAGCAGGAUGACCCUCACUAUGCCAGCAUCCACAUCUCUCGCUCUAAGAACCAGGAAGUGCCUUGUGGGUUUGCUGGUGUUCUGGUAGAGUCUGAUCAUACAGAGCAGGUCCUUUACUCUGCCAUCAACCUUAAAAGACCCAAGGCUGUCCCUGAGUAAGCACUCCUGAUAGUUCUCAAAGAUAAACUUUGAGGCUUGAGACUUCAUCCUCCCAAGGGACAGCUUGUGGAGGCAAAGCCAUUUAUAAACAUGUACAAUUUUUGUGGCUUGAGACUUCCUCAUCAAGUCAUUUAUAAACCGUGUAGAAUUUUUAGAGUUGCUUAACUUCUCUAUCUUUUUUUUACUUUUCAGCGACAGUAAACUGAUGUCAGAGUUGUAUACCACCAUCAAAUAUAUGUCCCAGAAAAUGCAUUAUUUUUAAAUAGAUUCAGCUUUAAAUGGGUUUUAAUACAAUUUCUAGCAAUACAAUUGUAUGUUAUUGUCAUAAUCUUCGUUCAGCAUUUGUAUAGUUUGUUUUGUUUGUUAGUUACUAAGAAUAUUCUUCUUGCCAGAAAAAAAACGCUUGCUAUCAUUGCUUUGUUGGAUGAUGUGGGAGCUGCUAUCACUGAUAACCAAACAUGGUUGACAUUUAUUUUAUUCUCAGUGGAAAAUGUAAUAUUACGUGUGUUUCGGCAUUAGGGUCAAGUGUGUUUGAAAACAUGUCUCGCGAGAAGUGUGCUUUUUAUUAUCAUAAUCUUCUUUCAGUGCUUGUAUAUGAUGUUUAGUGAGUAAGUUAAACUGCUUAUGGUGUUUUUCAUGCUUCCAGGCUAUGUUCUGUUUAAGAAAUAACCUAAAUGAUAUAUAAAAACACGUAUUUGAAAAAUG